rnacentral:miRNA from 1 species
GGAUUUUCAUACUAAUUCCUAGAA